CUAGGAGACAAUGUGUUUGUUGUUUUAAGAUGCUGAAUUUCAGAAUAAUUUGUCACACAGCAGUGGAUAACUGAUCCAGGUGGAAAGCGGGCCAGCUCUCUCAAGACAUUAAAAGGAGGUCAGGGUGGCCUAGCAGAAACAGUGGUUUUCCAACUUCAGAGUUCUUAAGGAUUGCCUUAUGUGAGUGCUAAAAUUGCAGAUUCCCGGGACGCACUUUCAGAGAGUCUGACUCAGUCCGUCUGGUUGGGGCCCAGAGGCUUGCGUUGCAAACAGGCAUCCCGGGUACUGCGAUGCCGCUGCCCUGCAGACCACAUUUGAGAGGCCCCGCGUGGGAGGGCUGCCGCAAUGGGCGACCCAAGUGGAGGCGGGGAGGCAGGCAGGGGUCUGAUGUGGGCCACACCAAAAACAAAACGUAAGACAAACCUUCCUAAGAACAGUGGGCAGCACUGCAGGAUUUGAAGCAGGACAGAAGCUAACCCUGUAAGCAGAGGCUGAAACCUGUUUGGUUUUCUUCUCUCAGGGACCUGGCAAUGUGCGUGCUGUCUUACCAACAGCCUGCGCUGAACCUUAAAUGUGGGGACAUGAAGACAAGUAGGGUUUGUGGCCUGCCUUUGAGGAACUCACAGAACAUGUAGAAUCGUCUCAUUCUUCUGAACAACUGCAGAGUAUACAACUGGGUGAAUGCGUCCGACCAGCCUCUGCUUGACGAGCGCUGAGACUGUUUCUAGCCCUCAGCCCUUGUGAGCGACGCUGCAGAGUGCUCUGCCUUUGCGCCUGUGAGCGCGUGGGCCUGCAGAGGACUGCACGCUACUGUGGUCAGGUACCGCCAAGUUGCUCUCCAAAAGUGUCACACCUGUUUACACGCCGCCCAGUAUUUGGUGCUCAAAAUAGUGCAUGGAAUACAGGCCCUGACCCUGUCAACUGACGAGCCUGGCUCGCUGCUGCAAGGCCAAGCUUCAUAACGGGGAGAUGGUGCAAGAGAAGCUAACUGCCUCCCUUUACUCACCUGAAGUCACAACCCUGCUGGCAUCCUCGCCGCUGCAGUUGGCUUACCCCUGGCAGGUGUAAUGGGAAGAGUCAAAACUUGAAUUUACCAAAGACUGUGGCAGUCUGAACACAUAACCUUUCCAAUUUUCUUUUGAAAAAAGGCAAAAUAGAAAAACAUGCAAGUCAGAAAAAAAAUACCCUGCCCUCGGCACCCUCGGCCUGUGACUGCUGCCGUCACAUAGUCACAUAGGUAAGGACACCGAAAGCGCGUGAAGCUCGGGGCUGAGGCCACGGGGCUGAGGCGCGGCCA